CCAAUUUGAACUAAUGUCACUCCAUUCAAAGUACACCAUAUGACUAGUUGCUUGAUGUUCAAACAAACCGAGAAAAAAAAGUUAUCAAGCCAUCAACUAAAUCCAAAAUAUUCUAGUAGUGUUAACCUCAUUUAAUUCUUCUUAAAGCAAGAAUCAACAAGCUUAUUUAGUAUGCUAGUUGAGUCAAGAAACUGGUCCUUUAUUCAAGUAAUAUUCAUACUAAUUGAAAGUACUGCAAAAACUAAACUCAGGCAUAAAGCAAACAAAACAAAAGCUGAAAUUAAAUAAAACAAAUAAAAACUCCAGAAUCAACAAGGAUAAACCAGCAAACAAGAGAAAAUAAAAACGAACCAAUCCUUUGUGGUGAUGGAGUGCUUGAAGGAAAUCGAUGCUUCUCGUGGAGUGGUGGUCGCUGUAUGGAUAUUCCUUGCUUCGAAACUCUUUAUGAACAGAUCUCACAAUAUCAACUGCAUCGCCGUAUUGUUGCUGUAAUAGUGUGAGCGGUGUUACGGAGGUGUUGUGUAGUAGAGCCGUGAAUUGGUGGUGUUUAUAAGUGGUUGAAGAAAAAGAAGGUUUUGUGGUGUGCGUGAAGGAGGUCGGAUUUGUUUGACGAUGGAGGUUCGGCGGUGAGUUAAGGGUGGUGGUGGUGAGUUGUUGUUGGUCACGACGUGAACAACGGUAGAGGUGCGGUUGUAGUCACGGCGGUUUCGGAAGGGUGUUCGUAACGUGAACGGCGUCACGGUUGCGGAGGGAGUUUCGGCGAUGUGGGUUGUAGUUGAGGGAGACGGUGGAAACGCGAACGGAGGAUGGAGGUUUCGUCGCGGGUUGAAACGAGAUGUACGGAUGAGAUCGAUGAGUGGGCUUUCACGGUGAUGGCGUGAAGUUACCGAAGACGAACAGAAGAUGUUGUAGAGGUGGUGUGGAGAAGAAGAGGAAAAAUUUCUUCCUUCUUUUCCGUUUUCGUUUUUUUUUCUUUUGUUACUUUUUUGAGAGAGAGAUUUGAGAGGUGUCAGUAGAGAGAAUUAUUG
rnacentral:lncRNA from 1 species